rnacentral:rRNA from 1 species
AGUAACACGUGGGGAACCUGCCCCAUAGUCUGGGAUACCACUUGGAAACAGGUGCUAAUACCGGAUAAGAAAGCGGAUCGCAUGAUCAGCUUUUAAAAGGCGGCGUAAGCUGUCGCUAUGGGAUGGCCCCGCGGUGCAUUAGCUAGUUGGUAAGGUAAAGGCUUACCAAGGCGAUGAUGCAUAGCCGAGUUGAGAGACUGAUCGGCCACAUUGGGACUGAGACACGGCCCAAACUCCUACGGGAGGCAGCAGUU